rnacentral:rRNA from 1 species
AGACGGAGGGGGCAAGCGUUGUUCGGAAUUACUGGGCGUAAAGGGCGCGUAGGCGGACGAUCAAGUCAGGGGUGAAAGGCCUGGGCUCAACCUGGGAAUUGCCUUUGAAACUGGUUGUCUAGAGUCCGGAAGAGGAUGGCGGAAUUCCCAGUGUAGAGGUGAAAUUCGUAGAUAUUGGGAAGAACACCGGUGGCGAAGGCGGCCAUCUGGUCCGGAACUGACGCUAAGGCGCGAAAGCGUGGGGAGCAAACAGGAUUAGAAACCCCUGUAGUCC